UUGGCUAGUCGUGUGGAGGAGGGCAGGUUGUUCCACCAGCCAGGGACAACAACGGAGAACAGACAUGAUUGGAAUCGGAGACCCCGUGAAGAAGGAAUUUUUAGUCUCCUUUCGUUUGCCGAUCUGAGAGAGCGUGCAGGAGUGUAGCUAGGUAGUAUUGUGUUGAUGUAGGAGGGCGCAGUUUCAUUUACAGCCCUGUAGGCAGCAUCAAGGAUUUGAACUCAAUGCGAGCAGCUACCGGGAGCCAGUGGAGGGAGGUAAGAAGAGGUGUAACAUGGGUGUAUUUUGGCUGAUUGAAAAUGAGACGAGCUGCCAUAUUUUGGAUCAUCAUUAUUACUGUGCUGUGGCCACAUGUGGAAAGAACCUGUUUGGAAAUGGGACAAAGAUGGAUGUUGAAAGAGUCUUGCUGAUUGGGUCAAGUUACAGAAGAACCAAAUGUCUUCAUUGUAUGGGUAAGUAAUUAAUGAGACAAAAAUUCAGAGCUCAAGAGUUUGACCAAACCUGAUAUUUUAUUGCUGAUAAAGUCGGCACUGAAAAGACUGAGCUGUCAUCUUCUCACAUAACCCCGCUACAUUUGCAGAAUUGUUCAUUUUGUGUGGCAGGUGUUAAGGGACUCUCUACGACAGCAGGGAGGAGAGAAGACUUUAUAUGAGCAGACAAGCUGUACUUAUUUUGCAGGACAUCGUUGAUGAGCCACUGAAUUAUACAGCCCUGCAGUUCUCUAGGAGGAGAACUCAGAACAACACUAAGAAUAAAGAGCUGAUACAAGACUGUGUGUACA
rnacentral:lncRNA from 1 species